rnacentral:rRNA from 1 species
AUUGAACGCUGGCGGAAUGCUUUACACAUGCAAGUCGAACGGCAGCACGGGGGCAACCCUGGUGGCGAGUGGCGAACGGGUGAGUAAUACAUCGGAACGUGCCCAGUCGUGGGGGAUAACGUAGCGAAAGCUACGCUAAUACCGCAUACGAACUGAGGUUGAAAGCGGGGGAUCGCAAGACCUCGCGCGAUUGGAGCGGCCGAUGGCAGAUUAGGUAGUUGGUGGGGUAAAGGCUCACCAAGCCGACGAUCUGUAGCUGGUCUGAGAGGACGACCAGCCACACUGGGACUGAGACACGGCCCAGACUCCUACGGGAGGCAGCAGUGGGGAAUUUUGGACAAUGGGCGCAAGCCUGAUCCAGCCAUUCCGCGUGCAGGAUGAAGGCCCUCGGGUUGUAAACUGCUUUUGUACGGAACGAAACGGCCUGGGUUAAUACCUCGGGCUAAUGACGGUACCGUAAGAAUAAGCACCGGCUAACUACGUGCCAGCCGCCGCAGUAACAC